rnacentral:rRNA from 1 species
GAUGAACGCUGGCGGCGUGCCUAAUACAUGCAAGUCGAGCGAACGGACGAGAAGUUUGCUUCUCUCAUGUUAGCGACGGACGGGUGAGUAACACGUGGAUAACCUAUCUAUAAGACUGGGAUAACUUCGGGAAACCUGCGCUAAUACCGGAUGAUAUUUUGAACCGAAUGGUUCAAAAGUGAAAGACGGUCUUGCUGUCACUUAUAGAUGGAUUCGCGCUGCAUUAGCUAGUUGGUAAGGUAACGGCUUACCAAGGCAACGAUGCAUAGCCGAUCUGAGAGGGUGAUCGGCCACACAGGAACUGAGACACGGACCAGACUCCUACGGGAGGCAGCGGUGGGGAAUCGUCGACAAUGGGCGAAAGCCUGACGGAGCAACGCCGCGUGGGUGAUGAGAGUCUUCGGAUCGUAAAACUCUGUUAUUAGGGAAGAACAUAUGUGUAAGUAACUGUGCACAUCUUGACGGUACCGAAUCAGAAAGCCACGGCUAACUACGUG